CGGGAGUGGGAGGGUGCAGUGAACCGAGAGCACACCAUUGCACUCCAGCCUGGGCAACAAGAGCACAACUCUGUCUCAAAACAAAGAAAAAGAAAAAAAACGAACUGGGCCCUGUUACAGUUGUCAGGGACAGGGGAGCUCCAGUUUUCACGCCUCAACUUUCCCCUCACACUGAUCUUUGUCUUCUCCUGUUUAACCUUUUUCCCUCCCUAGGCCCACUAUGAAUAGGAGCAGGGAAUUUGUUAGAUGAGGGUGGUGUGGAGUACAUGGUACAGAAGAGUUGGACCAAGAUCAAAUAAAGAUUGUGGAGGCAGGAAUAACUCAGUGAACAUUGCUUCAGCUUCUGGCGCUUGGGAGGCCCAUGCGGAAGGAUGACUUGAGCCCAGCCUGGGCAACAUAGCGAGACUCCAUGUCU
rnacentral:lncRNA from 10 species